rnacentral:rRNA from 1 species
AGUGAACGCUGGCGGUAGGCCUAACACAUGCAAGUCGAACGGCAGCACAGUAAGAGCUUGCUCUUACGGGUGGCGAGUGGCGGAUGGGUGAGGAAUACAUAGGCAUCUUCUUUUUCGUGGGGGAUUACGUAGGGAAACUUACGCUAAUACCGCAUACGACCUACGGGUGAGAGCAGGGGAUCUUCGGACCUUGCGCGACUGAAUGAGCCGAUGUCGGAUUAGCUAGUUGGUGGGGUAAAGGCCCACCAAGGCGACGAUACGUAGCUGGUCUGAGAGGGUGAUCCGCCACACUGGAACUGAGACACGGUCCAGACUCCUACGGGAGGCAGCAGUAGGGAAUAUUGCACAAUGGGCGCAAGCCUGAUCCAGCCAUACCGCGUGAGUGAAGAAGGCCUUCGGAUUGUAAAGCCCUUUUGUUGGGAAAGAAAAGCAGCAGAUUAAUACCCCGCUGUUCUGACGGUACCCAAAGAAUAAGCACCGGCUAACUUCGUG